rnacentral:misc_RNA from 1 species
GAAAUGCGAUACGUAGUGUGAAUUGCAGAAUUCCGUGAAUCAUCGAAUCUUUGAACGCAUAUUGCGCUCGAGGCUUCGGCCAAGAGCAUGUCUUCCUCAGCGUCGGGUUAAUCUCACUGCCUCUAUACUGUAUCUGUAUAGAACGGUGGACCUGACCAUUCCAAAGACUAUUUGUGGCGAGGUCCAGUACCCCACCACAUGUCAUACACAGUCCUGGAUUGGUUGAAGAGCAGAGGCUAACCGUGGACCCGCUUACGGGCCGCAACUGGGUAGGUGCCAUGCAUAUAUUCACGUAUAUGUGUGCAUUCUUAGUUGUUGGCUUGGGCACACGAAGCCCUCAACAAGGAAACUGGUUAACCCCACCUUCAUGACCUCGACCUGAGCUCAGGCAAGAACACCCGCUGAACUUAAGC